GUAUAAUGGCUGAGGUAGGCAAUAAACUGUAAAUUUAUUUACGAAUAAUGUUAUUCUUUUACCA
rnacentral:tRNA from 1 species